rnacentral:piRNA from 1 species
UAAUCUGGCGUGGGAGAGUUGGCG